rnacentral:rRNA from 1 species
GAAAGCGGUGCUAAUACCGGAUAAGACCACAGCCGUUUCGGCGGCAGAGGUAAAAGCUGACCUCUCCAUGGAAGUUAGCGUUCGAAGACGGGCCCGCGUCCUAUCAGCUUGUUGGUGGGGUAAAGGCCUACCAAGGCAGCGACGGGUAGCUGGUCUGAGAGGAUGAUCAGCCACACUGGAACUGGAACACGGUCCAGACUCCUACGGGAGGCAGCAGUGAGGAAUUUUGCGCAAUGGGGGAAACCCUGACGCAGCAACGCCGCGUGGGUGAAGAAGGCUUUCGGGUCGUAAAGCCCUGUCAGGUGGGAAGAAACUCUUCAGUACUAAUAAUGCUGAAGCCUGACGGUACCACCAGAGGAAGCACCGGCCAACUCCGUGCCAGCAGCCGCGGUAAUACGGAGGGGUGCAAGCGUUGUUCGGAAUUAUUGGGCGUAAAGAGCGUGUAGGCGGCUUGGUAAGUCAGAUGUGAAAGCCCUGGGCUCAACCCA